rnacentral:rRNA from 1 species
UGCCAGACUCCUACGGGAGGCAGCAGUGAGGAAUAUUGGUCAAUGGCCGUAAGGCUGAACCAGCCAAGUCGCGUGAAGGAAGAAGGAUCUAUGGUUUGUAAACUUCUUUUAUAGGGGAAUAAAGGUAUCCACGUGUGGAUAUUUGCAUGUACCCUAUGAAUAAGCAUCGGCUAACUCCGUGCCAGCAGCCGCGGUAAUACGGAGGAUGCGAGCGUUAUCCGGAUUUAUUGGGUUUAAAGGGUGCGUAGGCGGGCUUUUAAGUCAGCGGUAAAAAUUCGGGGCUCAACCCCGUCCGGCCGUUGAAACUGGGGGCCUUGAGUGGGCGAGAAGAAGGCGGAAUGCGUGGUGUAGCGGUGAAAUGCAUAGAUAUCACGCAGAACCCCGAUUGCGAAGGCAGCCUUCCGGCGCCCUACUGACGCUGAGGCACGAAAGUGCGGGGAUCGAACAGGAUUAGAUACCCUCGUAU